rnacentral:rRNA from 1 species
AUACGGAGGGUGCAAGCGUUAUUCGGAAUCACUGGGCGUAAAGGACGCGUAGGCGGGUUGGCAAGUCAGAUGUGAAAUCCUACAGCUUAACUGUAGAACUGCAUUUGAAACUGCUAACCUAGAGUAUGGGAGGGGGAGAUGGAAUUAGUAGUGUAGGGGUAAAAUCCGUAGAUAUCACUAGGAAUACCGAAAGCGAAGGCGAUCUCCUGGAACAUAACUGACGCUAAGGCGUGAAAGCGUGGGGAGCAAACAGGAUUAGAAACCCUAGUAGUCC